UACGUAGGGUGCAAGCGUUAAUCGGAAUUACUGGGCGUAAAGCGUGCGCAGGCGGUUUUGUAAGUCUGUCGUGAAAUCCCCGGGCUCAACCUGGGAAUGGCGAUGAAGACUGCAAGGCUAGAGUUUGGCAGAGGGGGGUAGAAUUCCACGUGUAGCAGUGAAAUGCGUAGAUAUGUGGAGGAACACCGAUGGCGAAGGCAGCCCCCUGGGUCAAAACUGACGCUCAUGCACGAAAGCGUGGGGAGCAAACAGG
rnacentral:rRNA from 1 species